rnacentral:rRNA from 1 species
AUUGAACGCUGGCGGCAUGCCUUACACAUGCAAGUCGAACGGCAGCGCGGGGCAACCUGGCGGCGAGUGGCGAACGGGUGAGUAAUAUAUCGGAACGUACCCUGGAGUGGGGGAUAACGUAGCGAAAGUUACGCUAAUACCGCAUACGAUCUAAGGAUGAAAGUGGGGGAUCGCAAGACCUCAUGCUCCUGGAGCGGCCGAUAUCUGAUUAGCUAGUUGGUGGGGUAAAGGCCUACCAAGGCAUCGAUCAGUAGCUGGUCUGAGAGGACGACCAGCCACACUGGAACUGAGACACGGUCCAGACUCCUACGGGAGGCAGCAGUGGGGGAAUUUUUGGGACAAUGGGCGCAAGCCUGAUCCAGCAAUGCCGCGUGAGUGAAGAAGG